GAUUCUGGCUCAGGAUGAACGCUAGCUACAGGCUUAACACAUGCAAGUCGAGGGGCAGCAUUGGGAUAGCUUGCUAUUCAGAUGGCGACCGGCGCACGGGUGAGUAACGCGUAUCCAACCUUCCUGCCAGUAGGGAACAGCCCGGCGAAAGUCGGAUUAAUGCCCUAUGUUCUUCAAUGCGGACAUCUAAGUUGAAGGAAAGAUUCAUCGCUGGCAGAUGGGGAUGCGUCCGAUUAGCUUGCCGGCGGGGUAACGGCCCACCGGGGCGACGAUCGGUAGGGGUUCUGAGAGGAAGGUCCCCCACACUGGUACUGAGACACGGACCAGACUCCUACGGGAGGCAGCAGUGAGGAAUAUUGGUCAAUGGGCGUAAGCCUGAAAACCCAGCCAAGUAGCGUGCAGGAUGACGGCCCUACGGGUUGUAAACUGCUUUUAUAAGCGAGAAAUAUGAUGGUAACUUAUGAAUAAGGACCGGCUAACUACGUGCCAGCCGCGGC
rnacentral:rRNA from 1 species